rnacentral:rRNA from 1 species
GACAGAGGGUGCAAACGUUGCUCGGAAUCACUGGGCGUAAAGGGCGUGUAGGCGGGAAGGAAAGUCGGGCGUGAAAUCCCUGGGCUCAACCCCAGGAACUGCACUCGAAACUUCUUUUCUUGAGUGCCGGAGAGGAAAGCGGAAUACCUGGUGUAGAGGUGAAAUUCGUAGAUAUCAGGUGGAACACCAGUGGCGAAGGCGGCUUUCUGGACGGUAACUGACGCUGAGACGCGAAAGCGUGGGGAGCAAACAGG